rnacentral:misc_RNA from 1 species
GGAUGAAGAACGCAGCAAAAUGCGAUACUUGGUGUGAAUUGCAGAAUCCCGUGAACCAUCGAGUUUUUGAACGCAAGUUGCGCCCGAAGCCUUUUGGCCGAGGGCACGUCUGCCUGGGCGUCACGCAUCGCGUCGCCCCCCACAAUUCUCCGUAAAGGGAACAUGUGUUUUGGGGGCGGAUAUUGGUCUCCCGUGCUCAUGGCGUGGUUGGCCGAAAUAGGAGUCCUUUCGAUGGACGCACGAACUAGUGGUGGUCGUAAAAACCCUCGUCUUUUGUUUCGUGCUGUUGCUCGCAAGGUAAACUCUUUAAAAACCCCAAUGUGUCGUCUCUUGACGACGCUUCGACCGCGACCCCAGGUCAGGCGGGACUACCCGCUGAGUUUAAGCAUAUCAAUAAGCGGAGGA